GACGAACGCUGGCGGCGUGCUUAACACAUGCAAGUCGAACGGUGAAGCGCUUGCCUUUUUGGUGGGUGUGGAUGAGUGGCGAACGGGUGAGUAACACGUGAGUAACCUGCCCUCUUCUUCUGGAUAACCUCAUGAAAGUGGGGCUAAUACGGGGUAUUCCGGGUCUGUCGCAUGGCGGGUUUGGGAAAGAUUGCGCCUUUGGGUGUUUUCGGUGGGGGAUGGGCUCGCGGCCUAUCAGCUUGUUGGUGGGGUGAUGGCCUACCAAGGCGGUGACGGGUAGCCGGGCUGAGAGAGUGGACGGCCAGACUGGGACUGAGACACGGCCCAGACUCGUGCGGGAGGCAGCAGUGGGGAAUAUUGCACAAUGGGCGCAAGCCUGAUGCAGCGACGCCGCGUGAGGGAUGGAGGCCUUCGGGUUGUGAACCUCUUUCGCCAGUGAAGCAGGCCUGCUCCUGUGUGGGUGGGUUGACGGUAGCUGGAGAAGAAGCGCCGGCUAACUACGUG
rnacentral:rRNA from 1 species